CCUACGGGUGGCAGCAGUGGGGAAUAUUGGGCAAUGGGCGCAAGCCUGACGCAGCAACGCCGCGUGAAGGAAGAAGGCUUUCGGGUUGUAAACUUCUUUUAGGAGGGAAGAGGAGAAGACGGUACCUCUUGAAUAAGCCACGGCUAACUACGUGCCAGCAGCCGCGGUAAUACGUAGGUUGCAAGCGUUGUCCGGAUUUACUGGGUGUAAAGGGCGUGUAGCCGGGCUGGCAAGUCAGAUGUGAAAUCCCGGGGCUCAACCCCGGACCUGCAUUGGGAACUGCUGGUCUUGAGUGCCGGAGAGGUAGGCGGAAUUCCUAGUGUAGCGGUGAAAUGCGUAGAUAUUAGGAGGAACACCAGUGGCGAAGGCGGCCUACUGGACGGCGACUGACGGUGAGGCGCGAAAGCGUGGGGAGCAAACAGGAUUAGAUACCCCAGUAGUC
rnacentral:rRNA from 1 species